rnacentral:lncRNA from 10 species
ACUCUGUCUCAAAAGAAAAAAUAAAUAAAUAAGGCAGGAGAAUAAACAAGAGAAAGGAAAAUGGAACAAGCAGGGAAGCAUCUUGUGCCCCACAAUUCAAUAAACGUCAUGCCAGAAGGCCCCUCCAAGCUUGAAUUUCCUCUUUAUAAAGUGACAAGUUCACAGAGUCAGAGUGGCAUAUUUGGAAGAUGACCACUGUGCUUCCAUUUACAAUCAAUAACAAUGAUGGUGACGAGGAUGAUGAAACAACAUCAGUUACAGUGGUGCAGGUAGCAAGAACAGCAGCACUCCUUUUGAGAGGCCGUCCAUGUCCCAGAUGCUGUACAAGUAUGUUCUCAUUUAUGCCUCACAACAACUUCAUGAGAAAGGUAUGGCACCAUUAUUUCUUUUUUUUUUUUUUUU